CAUGCAAGUCGAGGGGAAACGACAUCGAAAGCUUGCUUUUGAUGGGCGUCGACCGGCGCACGGGUGAGUAACGCGUAUCCAACCUGCCCACCACUUGGGGAUAACCUUGCGAAAGUAAGACUAAUACCCAAUGACGUCUCUAGAAGACAUCUGAAGGGGAUUAAAGAUUUAUCGGUGAUGGAUGGGGAUGCGUCUGAUUAGCUUGUUGGCGGGGUAACGGCCCACCAAGGCUACGAUCAGUAGGGGUUCUGAGAGGAAGGUCCCCCACAUUGGAACUGAGACACGGUCCAAACUCCUACGGGAGGCAGCAGUGAGGAAUAUUGGUCAAUGGACGAGAGUCUGAACCAGCCAAGUAGCGUGCAGGAUGACGGCCCUAUGGGUUGUAAACUGCUUUUAUAAGGGAAUAAAGUGAGCCUCGUGAGGCUUUUUGCAUGUACCUUAUGAAUAAGGACCGGCUAAUUCCGUGCCAGCAGCCGCGGUAAUACGGAAGGUCCGGGCGUUAUCCGGAUUUAUUGGGUUUAAAGGGAGCGUAGGCCGGAGAUUAAGCGUGUUGUGAAAUGUAGAUGCUCAACAUCUGCACUGCAGCGCGAACUGGUUUCCUUGAGUACGCACAAAGUGGGCGGAAUUCGUGGUGUAGCGGUGAAAUGCUUAGAUAUCACGAAGAACUCCGAUUGCGAAGGCAGCUCACUGGAGCGCAACUGACGCUAAAGCUCGAAAGUGCGGGUAUCGAACAGGAUUAGAUACCCUGGUAGUCCGCACGGUAAACGAUGGAUGCCCGCUGUUGGUCUGAAUAGGUCAGCGGCCAAGCGAAAGCAUUAAGCAUCCCACCUGGGGAGUACGCCGGCAACGGUGAAACUCAAAGGAAUUGACGGGGGCCCGCACAAGCGGAGGAACAUGUGGUUUAAUUCGAUGAUACGCGA
rnacentral:rRNA from 1 species